rnacentral:rRNA from 1 species
AGAGUUUGAUCCUGGCUCAGGACGAACGCUGGCGGUGUGCUUAACACAUGCAAGUCGAACGGUAAGGCCCUUUCGGGGGUACACGAGUGGCGAACGGGUGAGUAACACGUGAGUAACCUGCCCUCAUCUCUGGGAUAACAGUCGGAAACGGUUGCUAAUACUGGAUAUGAGCUUGCAAGGCAUCUUGUGGGUUGGAAAGAUAUUUUUUGGUUGGGGAUGGACUCGCGGCCUAUCAGCUUGUUGGUGAGGUAGUGGCUCACCAAGGCUUCGACGGGUAGCCGGCCUGAGAGGGCGACCGGCCACAUUGGGACUGAGAUACGGCCCAAACUCCUACGGGAGGCAGCAGUGGGGAAUAUUGCACAAUGGACGGAAGUCUGAUGCAGCAACGCCGCGUGCGGGAUGACGGCCUUCGGGUUGUAAACCGCUUUCAAUUGUGACGAAGCUUUUUUGUGACGGUAGCAGUAGAAGAAGCACCGGCUAACUACGUGCCAGCAGCCGCGGUGAUACGUAGGGUGCGAGCGUUGUCCGGAUUUAUUGGGCGUAAAGAGCUUGUAGGCGGUUUGUCGCGUCGGGAGUGAAAACUUGGGGCUUAACCCUGAGCUUGCUUUCGAUACGGGCUGACUUGAGGGAGGUAGGGGAGAAUGGAAUUCCUGGUGGAGCGGUGGAAUGCGCAGAUAUCAGGAGGAACACCGGUGGCGAAGGCGGUUCUCUGGACCUUUCCUGACGCUGAGAAGCGAAAGCGUGGGGAGCGAACAGGCUUAGAUACCCUGGUAGUCCACGCUGUAAACGGUGGGUACUAGGUGUGGGGGACAUUCCACGUUCUCCGUGCCGUAGCUAACGCAUUAAGUACCCCGCCUGGGGAGUACGGCCGCAAGGCUAAAACUCAAAGGAAUUGACGGGGCCCCGCACAAGCGGCGGAGCAUGCGGAUUAAUUCGAUGCAACGCGAAGAACCUUA